ACGUCCCUUUCUAUUGGUGGAAAUUUUUCUAGAGUAUAGUAACUGCCAAUCACAGUUGGUGUUGGUUAGGUCUAUUUAGUAUGGACGAUCUCACAGCUGUCCACCUCAAGACGAGAAAAGCGAAGUGGCUUCACUCGGCGUCUGUCCUCCGACAUAAGCAGUACUAAAUAAUGUAGUCUGAUCAGAACUUGGUGUUAAUCAUGGCUGCCAUGCCAGCUUUAGGCUUUUUUUUUAGUAUUUGGCUCUGGAACCUUUUGUUCCAGCAGCAUUUUUAGUCUUUUGCCUAUGUAGUCGCUUUAAUUAAGAAGAGAGAGAGAGAGUAUCAAAUUGUAACCUCACAAUGGAGAUUUUUCUCCUAUAACCGCUACUAAAGCGGUGUAAGUACGGGGAUCAACGUACGAAUCCAUCAUUUCAUGGGUUCAUGAACGUGUGUCUUCAAGCCGCUGAGACGCCUCUGAAUCGAUGGCCGUCCUAGAAGCUUGGGGUAUGCUGUCUCCUGUCCAUCUGGACGUGUAGAGCUCGAUCACCGAGCCUAGAUUCAAUUUGAAGAAACAGCUAUGAGGUAACAACUUUUUCCAAAUUAAACGAACGUCCCAGGAACUCCGGAUGUGACAAAAUGGGUUUUAGUGACAACAGACUUUCAAUCAAUUAAAACGUGCGGAAUUAGACUUUUGUUAAAUCAUAAUUUUGAGAUAUUAUUGGGGAUAGAUAGAUUAUUAAUUUUUAUUAAUUUGGUUUGAGUAAUAGAUUUUCGGUUGUAUCUUUACAUUGAAAAGUGAGGCCAUAUUUUCUCUGUAAGGAUCCAGCUGGGAAUUUCAGUUUUCUUUAAAUUUAUAAAUAAUUAUAAUCUUCUAAACUACUAAAAGUUGAAUGAGUACAUGAAUUUUAAAUGUCCCUUAUUGAUUAAAUUUAAUGUUUUAAAAUAAUUCUCAUCUUAAAGUUGUAAAGGAUCAAAUGAAGUUUCAAGGACCCUAACCUUUCCUAAAUUUGUUUUGAUGACAUAUAUUUUUGAAUAGUUUUUUUAAGGUAGUAUACCAUGAUGUGAUACUUGAGGAAUGUUUGUCCUUGCAGCGUUCAUGAUAUAAAGAUACUAAAUAGUUAUUAUUGGGGGGGAUCAUUAAUUUUUGAUAAUGUUUUGAUAGUGUUUUAAAGUUUCCAAGUGUGUUCUAAAUUUAAUGUUCUAAGAAUUUUAUGUGGAUCUUUUCUUAAAAUAUUAAUUGUCAUGUAUGAUUAACUUUUGAGAUAUAUUUAUGAUGAUUUUUAAUUCUUCUUUCUGAAAUUGGAGUCCUUUAAGCUUCUUAUGAUUCAAUCUAAAACGUUUUCAAUGUGGAGCAUACGGAGUAGGUUAUUACCGUAUUAUCUAUUUCAGAGAUAACCUUUAACUUUAGUAAUUUUAUUUUCGGUUUUCAUGAUGUAACUUCUUUGUUUUAUUAAUUGUUGAAUUUAACUGUAAGAGGUGACAAUAUAAUUGAUACCUUCUCUCUA